rnacentral:rRNA from 1 species
UUGAAAGGGAAACGAUUGAAGUCAGUCGUACCAGCGGGAAAUCAACCUUUCGAGUGGUGUUUUGGAGUUUUGAAGUGUGUCAAAACCUUUGAGAUUUUAAAAUUUUCGCUCUUUUGGUGUACUUUCUCGUGGGUAGGUUAACAUCGAUUUUGAUCAUCAUAAAAAGACUGGAGGAAUGUAGCUUCGAUCUUGUAUUGAAGUGUUAUAGCCUUUGGUAAAUGUGAUGAUUAGGAUCGAGGAUUGCAACGAAUACCCUUCUGGGCUAUCCGCCUGAUCUCUGAUACGUGGCCUUGGCAUCGAAAGCUUGCUUAUGGUAUCAAGGUAUUACGGUCAAAAGGUUAGAACGGAUUACAUUCGUUAAGAAUGUUGACGUA